rnacentral:rRNA from 1 species
ACGGAAGGCAGCAGUGGGGAAUAUUGGACAAUGGGGGCAACCCUGAUCCAGCGACGCCGCGUGAGUGAAGAAGUAUUUCGGUAUGUAAAGCUCUAUCAGCAGGGAAGAUGAUGACGGUACCUGACUAAGAAGCCCCGGCUAACUACGUGCCAGCAGCCGCGGUAAUACGUAGGGGGCAAGCGUUAUCCGGAUUUACUGGGUGUAAAGGGAGCGUAGACGGCAAGGCAAGUCUGAUGUGAAAGGCAGGGGCUCAACUCCUGGACUGCAUUGGAAACUGUCUGGCUGGAGUACCGGAGGGGUAAGCGGAAUUCCUAGUGUAGCGGUGAAAUGCGUAGAUAUUAGGAGGAACACCAGUGGCGAAGGCGGCUUACUGGACGGUAACUGACGUUGAGGCUCAAAAGCGUGGGGAGCAAACAGGAUUAGAUACCCUGGUA